UAGUAAGACCCCUUGAAGAACACAAGGUUGAUAGGUCAGAGGUGUAAGCAUGGUAACAUGUUCAGCUGACUGAUACUAAUAGGUCGAGGGCUUGACCAAAUAA
rnacentral:rRNA from 1 species